rnacentral:lncRNA from 1 species
CUUACAGUAUGUGGGCCGUAUAUCACAGCAUCCAUGGCAUGGGCUGAGUUAGGAAUGGUGGGGGUGGGGCCAGAAAGAUCCUGACAGAGCAGAGCUCUCUUCUCUUCAAUCUUUUUGCUUGGAGGAGAAAUCUGUUUUUGGUGAUGUCUCGAGUAGGGGAAGAAGAGGCCAAGAGCCUAGCCUAGGUGUUGCCAAUUAAAGAUGCUUUCUUAAGUAAGCAAAUCUUGGCAGGGUGCCUAGACACAGCCCGUGAAGGCCCUCUGGCCUUUUGCAAAUACCCUGUGAAGAGAUAUUGCUCCGGCUAUAGAAGCUGAAGCCCAGAAAAAAAUGUCCGCUGUGGGCUGCUAUGGACUCCUCAUCAUUCAGAGAAAGGCAACUGGCCAGCGAGGAGUGGUUGUUAACAGCGGCUAAGUGUGGAAGGACAGUGACAAUUAGCCAUGAGCUAACAUCUGCUGCUAAUCCUCCUCCUUUUGCUGAUGAAGACUGGCCCUGAGCUAACAUCCGUACCCAUCUUCCUCUACUUUAUACAUGGGACGCCUGCCACAGCAUGGCUUGACUAGCGGCGCCGUGUCCGCACCUGGGAUCCGAACUGGCAAACCCUGGGCUGCUGAGAAGCAGAACGUGCGAACUUAACCGCUGCGCCACCAGGCUGGCCUCUCUUAGCAACUUUGAAGUAUAUAACAUGGUAUGGUUGAGCAUAAUCACUAUGCUGGGCAUUAGAUCCCCAGAACUUCUCCACCUUUUAAGUGGAAGUUUGUACCCUUUGACCAACAUCUCCCCAAUUCCUCCAUCCUAAGCCCCUGGUAACCACCAUUCUACUCUCUGUUUCUAUGAGUUCAUCUUUUUUGUUUUUAUUUAUUUAUUUAUUUUAAAGAUUGGCACCUGAGCUAACAACUGUUGCCAAUCUUCUUUUUCUUUUUUCCUGCUUUUCCUCCCCAAAGCCCCCCAGUACAUAGUUGUAUAUUUUAGUUGUGGGUCCUUCUAGUUGUGGCGUGUGGGAUGCCGCCUCAGCAUGGCCUGGUGAGCGGUGCCAUGUCCUCACCCAGGAUCCCAACCGGAGAAACCCCGGGCUGCCAAAGCAGAGCGCACGAACUUAACCACUCGGCCACGGGGCAGCCCCUAGUUCAUCUUUUUUAGAUUUCAUAUAUAAUUGAGAUCAUACAGUAUUUGUCUUUCCUGUUUGAUUUCUCUCACUUAGCAUAUGCCCUCAAGGUCUGCCCAUGCUGUUGAAGAAGGCAGGAUUUCCUUCUUUCUCAUGACUGAAUAAUAUUCCAUUUUAUUUAUCCGUUCAUCUGUUGAUGGACAUUUAGGUUGUUUCCAUAUUUUGGCUAUUGUGAAUAAUGCCACAAUAAACAUGGUAAUGCAGAUAUCUUUUUGAUAUCCUAUUUUCAUUUCCCAAGACAUAUUAUUAACUGAAAAAAGGAAAAAUUUUAAAAUGGUAUGUUAAGUCAAGUACCAUUUCUCUUACUAUUAAUCUCACUAAAAUAUAUUUAUACAUAUGUAUAUACACACCCAAAUCUAGAUGAAUGGACAUCAAUUGUAACAACGAUUAUCUCUGCUGAUGGGGUUUGGGAAAGUUUGCUUUCUACAUUAUAUAUUUCAGCACAGUUUUAAUUUUUACAUUAACCAUGAAUUUUUAAUCUGAAAAAAGAUAUAUUAAAAAUUAAAUCAGGGGCUGGUCCAGAGGCGCAGUGGUUAAGUUCAUAUGUUCAGCUUUGGCGGCCUGGGGUUCUCUGGUUCGGAUCCCGGGUGUGGACCCACGCACUGCUUGGCAAGCCAUGCUGUGGCAGGCAUCCUACAUAUAAAGUAGAGGAAGAUGGGCACGGAUGUUAGCUCAGGGCCAGUCUUCCUCAGCGAAAAGAGGAGGAUUGGCAGCAGAUGUUAGCUUAGGGCUCAUCUUCCUCAAAAAUAAAAAAUAAAAAUAAAUAAAUAAAAUCGAAUAAAGUAGAAAUAUUUAGAAUGAUAUCUAUCCAAUUAGAUAAAAGAUUAAAACAUAGAAGUUAAGUGACAUAAAAUCAUGAUGAAAUUAAAAUGCACGGGCAAAACGUUAAACUCACAGGUGGCGACAAAUGAGAACAGAGAAGAGGAGGAACAGACCAGGUAAUGCAGCCAUGGGGGCGGGGGGUAGGAAGCCCAAGGGGAGCCCCUCAGAAUGCCUGGCUUGCCCAAGCCCCCUGCAGAGGGAGGGAUGGGGCCCAGAGCCCUGUGUUAGAAAGCAUGUGCCCCUCCUUCCUUUGACGGCGAGGAAAGGGCUCAAGGCUGGUGAUGCCUCGGCUCCAACUUCAGGCACAGUUGGCAGGCAGAGGACCCGACACCAGCCUGCUCUGAGGACACUCUGCUUCUGCCAUAUGCCAAGGACCACGUGGGUGUCGCUCCUUUCUCUGUCCAAGGUCCCCAGUCCAGGGUGUGGCACGUUAUCGCCAACAGGCAGUGCUUGCUGCUGCUGUUGCAAGCUGAGGAGUGGGGAGACCUGCCGAGGGAGGGACGAGGGGCUGCUCUGAGGACGCCGCUCCGCCCUCCUGUGGGUGAGCCUCACCCGGAGCCUUUCAAGCUGCGAGCCUGAGCCCUCCCCCCAGAAGUUCUGACUAAAGUGAUCUUGGCUGCUGUCUAGGCAGCCGCAUUUUAAAGUAUGUUUUAGCUCUUCAUUUUGAGAUGACUUCAAAUGUACAGAAAAGUUAGAAAAAUAGCAUGAAAAGCUCCUGUUUACCCUUCACCCAGAUUCCCCAAUUGUUAACAUUUUACCACAUUUGCCUUAUUUUCUUUCUCCACACACACACUCCUUUCUUCCUCCCUGUAUUUAAGAAUAAGUUUUAGACGUGAUGUCCUAUUACCCCUUCGUGUGUGAGUGUGUAUUCCCAAGAAAGCAAAGACAUCUCCUACAUAGCCAUCGUGCCACCGUCAAAUCAGGAAAUUAAUAACGAUUCAACAGCCCCUUCUAACUGCAGCCCUCGCUCAGAUCUGAGUAUUGUCCCCGGAAUGUCCCUCAGAGGUCCAGGAUCCAGGGCUAAGUCAUGUGUUGUGUUUACUUGUGAUCUGUCUUUAGUUUCCUUCCAGCAGUUUCUCAGACUUCCUUAUCUUUAAUUACCCCAUCAUCUAAGAGUACAGGCUGGUAAUCACUUAGUUAUCGCUUGGUUUGGGUUAGUCUAUUUCUUCACGAUUUACGCAUUUUUGUAAGGAACACCGCAGAAGGAAUGGUGCGUUUUUCUCAUUGCAUCAUAUGAGGGACACACAAUUUGUCUCGUUGUUGAUGACGUUAACAUUUGUCGCUUGGGUAAUGUGAUAUUUGCCAAGUUUCUCCACUAUAAAAUUAACUAAUGGUGUUCACUGAUUAAUAAGUAAUUAAUGGGUACUUCAUAGGGAUGAAUUUUAAGGCUUUUACUGUCUGGUAGGACUUUCCUUUCUCCUCAUUUAUUUAUCUAUAUCACCAUGUGUUCAUGGACUCCUAAUUUAUUCUGAGGUUCAAUCUGAACCGUUGUCGUUUGAUGUCCAAAUUAUGUCGGAGUUUGCCAGUGGGAGCCCCUUCGAGCUAACUCCCGUGGCCGUUCAACAUGUCCCCUUCACUGUUUCAGCUCUUCCUUACUCUCUAGCAAAACAAGAUGCUCCAGGCUCAUCUUGUAUCUUCCCUGUUCCGGCCCUCGGGACAGCCAUUUCUCUAAGGAGCCCCAAUUCCUUUUAUUGGAGGAGGGUAUUUAGAAACCAAGAUCCAGAUGCCAGGUGUGCUCAUUGCUGCCAGGGUGUCAUUCUGUCUGGAGACCCUGCAAGAGAAGCCUGAGUGGCAGUCUGUCAUACCGCAGCAUUUCUUCAUUUUGCUCACAGACACCCCCAAGACAGCUGUCUGUGCCACAUGGUUUCUAUUUGCUCUGCCAUAUCCAGUGUCCAGCCUUCUCCACCUUGCUCUUUGCCCAAGAGCUUGAAGGGUAAGGACCACGAUGAACUGUUCUCAAGUCCUCUGUCACUGUGGUUGGGUUCAGCCAUGGAGGAGUCCCAGGAAGAAAGGGGAAGAAAGAGGGAGGCAGAGUCAGGGUAUUUAUUCCCCUGCCUCCCUUCCUGCAAGGUCUCCUCGAGUUGGCUGUGUCCCUCCGCUGGAAGUCCUCAUUUCUCUCAGGGCCGCUAACCAGACAUAGUCUUCUUCUCCCUGUUCUUACAGCUGCUCCCUCCCCUCACCCCCUCAGGUGGUGAGCCGCAGAACUAAAUGCACACCUUUGUAAAUAACCCCUCCUCAAAUCACAUAAGGGCAAAUGGCUGUCUGUUUCCCCUCAGGACUCUGAUUGACAUCUUUUGGGUCAAACUAUGGGUGCUCCUAAAUUGUUCUCCUUUUUCCCCAGUGAUCCAGAAAAACAAGACUCCUGGUGAAACUGCAGCUCUUGUAGCCAAGCUUCCUUCUCCGGGUCAGGGGUUGGCAAACUUUUUCCAUAAGGGCCAGAUAGUAAGUAUUUUAGGCUUUGAGUCCUACUCUACUUUGCCCUGGUAGAUGGGAUGAGCCACAGACACGAGGUCAGCACCCGGCUUGCCACAGGCAUUCAAGAAAUGCUCCUCAGGUAUUAUCAUUGAGUAACAUGUGUGCUGUGGGAUUAUGCUAGAGAUUCUUCAUAAGGCCUAGGAGCACAGUAUUCGUAAGCUCCCUUUUACAGAUUAGGAAAUGGAAAAUCAUUGAAGUCACUAGCUUGCCAUAAGUCCCAUAAUUAUGCAGUGGGAUAGUCGCAGUAAUCCUCUGAGACAGGAUUCUUUGCUCCCAAUACCAUGCAGAAUUUUUUUGACCAAGCUCUUGCGAAGGCAAUAUUAUUCUAGAGAAUGGUAGCUUAGUGAGAUUUUUGAGGCUAAAAGGGUUUUAGGGUUUGUUGGAAACCAUACCAUCUAUUGGCAGGCUCAGUUCUAGACAGGAUGCAUGGCUAUGGGAUGGUGUACAUGAUAACAGUAGGACUCUGAGAAAGAAAAGAGUGUGUAGAAGGAGAAGACAUUUUUGUUGUCUCCCUAACCGGGUCCUUCUGAUAUCACAGAGUUGCUAGAUCGAACCGUUCCGAAGGCUGCCCUCCCUUUAAAUUAAUUAUUGCUAUUGCCAAUCAGUUCUAGUUAUUGUUAACCAGCCUGAGUUGGGCUUUCUGUUCUGCAACUGAAAACAUGCUAAUAGACACCGAGAGCUUCCUGCUGUUUAUUGAUCGAGAAACCAAAAGAGAAUAUUUAGCAACAAGCAGCUAUUGAAUGCAUAACACCACAGGUGUGUGCUUAUUUUCUCCUGAUUUUGCUUUCUGAAAGGCUGUAAUCAUUUCAGAAAUAGGUGAAAGUGUUUGUUUUGCAUAUUCAGGAAAAUUCAUUAAAUAUUUUUAAUUACUUAGAUCUUGUUUAACUCUUAAUAUACUUGAGUAUAUGUGUUGUUUGAAAAGUACUCAUGACAUAGGGCGAAAGCAAGUGAUAUAAAAUUAUGCUAUUUAUCAUUACAUUUUUUUUGACCAGUAGGUAUUGUUUAAAUGGUGAAAUGCUAACGUGUUAUAUAUAUAAAAUGAUUUUGAGAGGGGGAAGCUUUUAGUUUGUUUGCAACAAAGCGAUGGUAAUUCUUCUGCAAGAGUAUUGUUAACUGUUGCUAUUCCGGUAAGAAAAAAAUGGGCACUCUGGGGAAAAAUAGUAUUCCAAAUGUCUUGAAUGCUCUGUCUGAUCUCUGAAGUCCCCUUUGUUCUGUUGGAAUGCCUAAGUCAAUGAAUUCAGUAGUGAUUUAUUUCAAAGGUCCUAAGGCCUAAAGCUUUGAGAGAGAACGAAAAGAACAAAAGAAAGAUUUUUCAUAGAUUGUAUUAAACCUCCAGGCAUAGAAAAUAUACAAGUGAAAAUACAUCAGAGACAUCUUUGGUCUUUGCUAAAACAUGUGGAAAACAACUCUACGGCUGGCCAGGGUGAAAAGGUAUAUUACUGAUUAACGAGAGGAUUUAUAAUUUAACCAGGAUUUCUUAAUUCCCCCCAAGUAAACCUAGACUGUGACAUCGUGAACUUAUCGGUUUUCCACUGUCUCUGACGGUCAGGUUGCGCACUUUGCCUGGCCUCAUGGCAGAGGUCUGAGCUUGCACAUACUGGGCAUUCAGUAAAAAUAGUUCAUGACUGACUUCUGACUAGAUGAAUUACUGAGGGACUGUAAAAUUAGUUUAAGUAUCUUUUUGACACAGUUUUUACUCCAACACUGCCCAUUCAGGCAUGUUACGUAUUUUGAGUCUCUGUUUUCAGUUACAACAAUGUAGGGUAGUAAAAAGGAGUGAGUUCGAAGAGUGUUUCGUUGCUGCUGUCAUUCGACACUUGACUUGACAUAAUACAUCACCUUGCCAUAAAUAAAAAUUUUGGCAGUAGCUGAUAUAAAUAGUAACAUUUACUGAGUUCUUACUGUAUACCAGGCAACAAGCUGUAUUCUUUACAUGAAAUUUAAAAAUUAAUCCUCGCAACGACUUUCUAGGUUGGUAGUUUUAUUUUUCUUGUUUUACAGAUGAAAAAACUGUGUAAACUAUAUUGCCUCUUGGGCUAUGUAACAUAUACCUUUGCCCAGAAGGAAAAUCAAAACAUUCAUGAUCCUUUUACAAAGAGAUUCCUUUUUGAGUGACAGGAUUUCUUCUAGUCUUUUAACAUAACAGAUACUCCUAAUUCACUCAAAAACUUCUCAAUUAUAAUAGUUCGAUUUGCGUGCUUUUCAGUUACAACUCUUCAAGAACACAAUUUUGUACAUGAAACAAGAAUUAUAAAUUCUGGCCUCAUUAAUGAUAUUUUUACAUUUGAAAGAGAGACAAUUGCUUGAACUUAAAAUAAAUUAAUAUUCCGUAUUUGUUUAAACUACAACUAUAAAAAACAAUUAUAAACAUAUAUAAGAUUUUUAUUGUGGAAACUAAACCUCCAUACACCCAUCACCCAGCUUCAAAAGUUUUGACAACUUUUGAAGCUACCAGUAUAUUUUUGAAGUAUUGUUAAUAAGAAGGGGACCAUAUAAUUUAUUAUCCAAACCAGGACACUUCUGAGAGUGAAAGGGGGUGUUAUUAAUAAUCUCUCCAGGACAACAGGGUAAACCAAGACUCUGCCAGGGAAACCAAGGCACAUGACUGAUUAUCCUGGAACGAAUUCACGUUUGUAAUAGCUAAGGCAUUUAAUAACAUACACAUUGGUAAGACUAUGAAGGACAAAAUCAUUCUAAUGUGAAAGAAGACACACACAUCUCUUGUUAAAUAGUUUUCUAUAUUCAUCAGUGUUAUGGACUCAAUGUUUGUGUCCUCUAAAAAUUCUUAUAUUGAAGCCCUAACCCCCAGUGUGAUGGUAUCAGGAGGUGGGGUUUUGGGAGGUGAUUAGGUCAUGAGGAUAGAGCCCCCAUCAAUGGGAUUAGUGCCGUUAUAGGAAGAGACACAGAGAGCUCCCUCUCCACGCUCCUCUCUCUGCCAUAUGAGGACACAGCGAGAAGGCAGCCAGCUACGAACCAAGAGGCCGGCCCUCGUGAGGGACCAAAUGGGCUGGCAUCUUGAUUUUGGACUUCCCAGUCCCCAGAGCUGUGACAAACGGUUGUCUGUUGUUUGAACCACUCAGUUGGUGAUGUUCUGUUAUGGCAGCCGGAGGAGACGAAGACAAUUAUGUUGAACAGGGCUUGUACAGGCUUUUACGAUUCUGUGGCAGAAUUAAACGAAACGUCUAUUUAAGAGCAUGUAUUUGACGAUGAAUCUAUUACUAUAAUCUAGCAACAGUGCCGUAGUACCAGCUCUAGCACGGCAGUUAAAGUGCGUGGGAGGAGGCAAACCUAAACGUGUGAUGGAUGCCUGCCAAUUGCUCGCUGGACGUGUUCCUCAGCCUCUCUCUUUUAGUGGGGAAAAUAACAGGAUUCAUUUCAUACGGCUGCUGUGAGGACAAGCGGGUAAUGCAGGCAAAGCCCACAGCAUGUUGCCUGACACACGUGAACACUCAGUGAAGACUGCCUCUUCUUUUCUUCCUCUCCUUCCUCCUCCGCCUCUUCUCCCCUGCUCAGGCUCCCCCUGGGCCCGGCAGCUGAGGUCAGCUUGUUGUGCCGUCGGCUUUACAGGGAAGAUGGAGCAGAAGAACUGGAGCUGCUCCAGGGCGGGGACAAGACUGUCACCGGACACGCUCGCCAGAUACUGAGGCAACGUGCGACAGGUCGUUGCUCGUCCCUAGUCAGAGGGAGCUCAAAGUGUCAGAACUUGAGCGUUUCAAAUCACAACCCUGGGGGCUGGCCCUGUGGCCCAGUGGUUAAGUUUGUGCACUCCGAUUUGGCGGUGCGGGAUUUCGCCAGUUCAGAUCCAGGGCGAGGACAUGGCACCACUCGUCAGGCCGUGCUGAGGUGGCCUCCCACAUAGCACAACCAGAAGGACCACAACUACAAUAUACAACUGUGUACUGGUGGGCUUUGGGGAGAAGAAGAAGAAGAAGAAAAAAAAAGAAGAUUGGAAUAGUUGUUAGCUCAGGUGCCAAUCAAAAAAAAAAAGAAUUAAAAAAAGAACAUAAAAUAAAAUCACAACCCUACUUAUAAUGAAAGACUGGUGAGGCCUAAAUGUAUGAAUUAAAAGUAAAAUCGGGGCGGGGGGGCCAGCCUGUGGCAUAGUUGUUAAUAAGUUGUUAUUAAAAAGGUGACCAUAUAAUUUAUUAUCCAAACCAGGACACUUCUGAGAGUGAAAGGGGGUGUUAUUAAUAAUCUCUCCAGGACAACAGGGUAAACCAAGACUGCCAGGGAAACCAAGCUCGCACGCUCUGCUUCGGUGGCCCAGGGUUUACAGGUUUGGAUCUUGGGCACAGACCUAGAUGCUGCUCAUCAAGCCAUGCUGUGGCAGCAUCCCACAUGCAAAAUAGGGGAAGACUGGCACAAAUGUUAGCUCAGGGCCAAUCUUCCUCACCCAAAAAAGAAAAAAAAAAGUAAAAUAGGGAUAUUAUUCACCUCAGAGAAUUGCUUUGAGGAGUCAAUCAAAUAACUUGUGUGUGGGGUGUAGGACAGUCUGGCUCAUUGUAGGCCUCAAAAUGGUGGUUACCUUAUGAGUUUACUUCUAGAGAAUCUGCUGAGGAGACACAAUGAAUGGAGAAGAGUCACUCUGAAGCUUUUUUCUCUGUCGCCAAGGAGGCAAAUCCCUGACACCCCUUCUUAGACCCCAGAGGAUUCUUCCUUAAUGGCCAACAGCUCAAAUCCACUCAGAGGACUAGGUCAAUAUUUAGAUGGAAAAGAUGUCACUCCCUCCUCACCAAAUGUCAACAAAUAGAAGGGCAAAAAUGUUUUUUUUUUUAAAAAAGAAGUUUCCUACAAGAUUUGUGCCUAUUAGUAAAUUUCCAUAGCUAAUGAUUUUUGUCAGUAAAAAAAAAUCUUUGUGAAAUACAUAAUAAAUAUUUCAUUUUUGGCAGUGAUGCAUGUGAGAAAAAUGAUAACAAUCUGUUCUUCACUUGUUGUGUUUCUGGUACAUAAGGGAACAGUUUCACAAACCAGUAAGUAUGCUGGUACAGACGCCAAUUAAGAUCAAUCUUCUCAAACGAAAUUAGGUGAAGCCCGUGGGCUGUUAGCUAAU